rnacentral:sRNA from 1 species
CAAAGGCUUUAACCCUUCUUCUUUAGCUAACAAGAACCUCAUUCUUUUCUUUAACAUUCUCAAAACCUUUACUAGAUUUUUUCCAACUUCUUUAGCUUACUUCUCCUAGAAUUCUUUCCCUUUCCUUAUCAACAAUGAAUUCACCCUUUUCUUUUAAACACAUCCCAACCCAUGAUAUAAGCGCCCACCUAGUCCUAUCCAGUCCGAAAAAUGUGAACUAGAACUACAUGAGACACUAUCUCUGUCGUUACGAACCUAACACUUUCUACCAAGCUCUAUCGAAAUAAGACCUCACAAACACUCACAAGUGAUAUAGGGUUUGAAAGAAAGUUUAGGUUUGGGUUCGGGUUAACUACUCUAAUAAGGAGAGUCAGCUACUUGGACUAACAAGAGUGUUUAAAAUGAGUAAGAAAAUCCAAGUAUUUUAGGGUAUCCAUGAGUUCAAAUUCGAUGCCAAGACAUGAUAAUUCUAAAUCAGAUUCAAGUUCAAAUUGAUAGGGAAUGGUAUCAGAUCCUAAUAGUGUGGUCGAGUAGAGCAAUCUAGGCAUGGUGCAGUUUUACUUCAAUUUCAAUGGCUACGCAUCAGACAACUAACAACGAGGGCACUGAGCUUAUCUGGUGAACCAAAAUGCUUACAAGGCUAUCUCAUCAUUAUCCCCUAUGCAAAUGCAAAAAUCCUACAUGAAACACUCUAGACUCGAUCCUAAAUGCUUACAACUACAUGAGCACUCUAUUUUUGUGAAAUCAUUUUCUGAAAUUUUUCAUUUUUUUUGUUUUUUCUAUGCCUUAGAUGAAUGCAGACUCAAAAUUAUAUACAAUGCAACACACACUUCCUGAGCCCUCCCCCAAACUUAAAUCACACAGUCCAUUGUGUGACCAAAUUUGGAAGAGAGUACUCAGGACAAAACACAUCACAAAAACAAAAUAAAAACAAGAGAUGGUAUAUUACAAAAUAAAAACAAGAGAUGGUAUAUUACAAUGGUGGAGUGAGGUGCAUACCUAAGUGGAAGAAGGAGCGGAGUUGGUCGUCAAUAGCUGCCUAUGAUUGCUCCCAGGCCAUCGAAGAAUCUCCCUGUUGUGUCUCAGCUUCCCCCUGGGGGUACUCGACCUCUGCUCCUUCGUCGCGGCCAGCACCGCUCAGAUGAUACUCGACCUCUCUUCUUCUGCUGCGGCCAGCACCGCGGUCGCGUAAGCUACGCGACAGGAGAAGUCGUGUACUCCUACUGCCAGACCGAGCGAGUGCAGCCUUCUUUUUUCUCCCGAGCUCCCGAGGCUCGAAUGAUGAAUGCCUCGCACGGACUGGUGGGACUGCUCGAUCACUAGGCUCAGGCCUGUGGUGACUUGGCUCAGGCCUGUGGCGACUUGGCUCUGGCGCAUCAUAUCUCCUCGAGGGCAUGUCCUGAGGAGGCUCUCCCUGCGGAAUAGCUGUGGUAGAAGAGGAGCAGCUUAGCUUGUCUGUCAGAAACUUGAUGGCCUUGAAGCACUUGAUGAGUAGCCUAUCUUGUUUCUUGCACCACCUCUGCAACUUACUGUUGUUUCUGUGAGCUUCGCUCAAGCUCUUGCUCUCCCGCGCUGGAGGUACGUGCUCUCUGAAAUGAUAUAUGCUCGUAUCGUACUCCUUCUCCCUAUCCUCAUCUGUCUCAGCAAUCUCAUCCUCUGUAGCUUCCGUCGUUUGUCAUCAGUCGGAUGAGCGCUCUCAAUGUAGAGGUAAUCACGCGCAGGUUUGAAGUCAAUGUUUUCACUCUGAAGUAUGGUUGUGGCCUCGAUGCAGGGAAGCCGAAUGUUGGCUGUUCGGGUCAAGGAGUGCUCGAAUUUGUAGCGAUAGAAAUCGCCAACCAUGUCGUGCUCCAGAAACUCACAACGACGCAAAUGAUCUAAAUCCAUCAUCCUCGGAUCAAACCCCGGAGACGUGAGAGGUACACCACAUGCAAUCAGAAUCGGUGUCACAACACCUCCUACACAAAGGGCUCCUCGCGCCCUCUUCUUCCCUUUGGUGUGCGCCCACUUCCUGUAUCCACACAGGUGGGUCAACAGAAGCAUAACCGGUGGUGCAUCAUUGAGGUCGCCCUUCAGGACCUUCUUCACCUUUGUUCUGCGGAGAAUGCCCUUGAGUGCAGAUUCAAUCAUCUCCAUGUCUGUGUUAGACACGGUGCCUGUAGAUUCCCUAGAGUACAGAACAUUCGCUACAGAGCGCUGAUAGUAGCGGAUCACAGUGCUUCAAAUCUGGUUGCUCUUAGACCUCGCUGAGUUGAGCGCCAUAUCGUUCCCAAAGGUUAACCACAAAUCCUUCAACUCUUCCCUCUCGAACUUGGGUUUAGUUCCCUUUCCACUGGGGAAACCAAACAAUCCUUCCAAGCUCUUGAUAGAUAGCUGGUAACGCUGCUCGUUCACUGAAAAGGUCAAGAACUCCAACCCUUCACUCUCCAGCUCAUCUGAUGUAAGUCCCUGAUACAUCUCCACUUGUAGAGUGGAGAGAAACUCUAUUGUUUCCUUCUUGGAAGCUAUGUACGUCCUCCGGUAGCCCCAGCUGGGCUAAAGUCUCAUAACAGAGGUACCUCGUUCCCCAGAAGUCGUUUAGAUCGAAAAGUCUUAUGUACUCCUCCACUGUAACUUCAUCAGGCCUGUUCAACAGCUUCGUCUCUCUGUGCCAUGACUCGGGCUCAUACUUGACGUCAAUAUCUUCGUCGAUCAACUCAUAUCUGAUGGUCAUUGCUCUCUUUCCUCUAGCAAUCUCAGCUCUCCUCUCAUUGCGUCGAGCUACUGAGCGUUGGGUCUCAGCUCUGAAGCUCUCAUAAGCUUGUCGCUCUCUCUCUGGUCCAGUUGACCAAGAUUCAGCUUCAUCGACGUUGUAAUCCCCAUCCAUGGAGGAUUCGCCGCUGUAGUUACUCAUAUUGAUUUCCUGAAAAAGAAUGUAACUCAAAGCCAAAUAUCAAUAUGUUAGUCCGAAUAAAACGCAAACACUAAACCGGUCAAGUACGCGGUCGAGUAAAACGGUCGAGUACAGUGAGAUUGUGGCUUCGAGUAUAGCGGUCGAGUGAAAGUCAAUGAGAGACGGUAAUAGCGUGGUCGAGUGAAUGGUGGCGAGGCUUGUUCGGUUGAUUGCAACGGCGGUUUGAGGAGCGGUCGAGUGAAGAGAUGAACGGAGGCGAAGUGAAUGGCAAGGUCGAGUGAACGGUGGAUAGUUGAGAGAUCGUGAAGCCAGUCCGGUGGCUGAGUGAACGGAGGCGACGGAAGCACGGUGAAUGGCGAGAAACUCCGGCGAAGAUGUUGAGGCGAAGCGUAAAGUGGUCGAGUGAAGGAGAGACGGUGAGAGAGUACGCGAAGCUGGAACGGCGAGGAGCUCCGGCGAAGUCGAGUAAAUGAAGAUGAAGAUGAAGCACGGAGAGGUCGAGUUGCGGUCAAGUGAGAAGGAUACAACGGUGAGACGGUGAAGCUUCCGGCGAAGGGAAGGGCGGAGUGGUCGAGUGAACGGCGAGUGGUGAGAAGGAAGAGAUGGCAAAAUCGAGUACCGUCUUCGAGUGAAGGAGAGAGUGAAGGCGGUGGCGCGAACGACGACGGUUGUUUUGUGGUCGAGUGAAGGAGGGAGACGAAGCCGGAGGGGUGAGAUCGAGUGUCUUUGUGUGGUCGAGUGUUUGGAGAGGAAGAGAGAUGGUGAGGUUUGGUCGAGUGAGUGUUGUGAGGAAUAGAUGGCGUCGGUGGGAAGAGAUGAGGUUGGAUCGAGUGGCUGUGAUGAAGCCUUGGGAUUUCCUUAUCACUAAAAACGCGUGGGGGGGACAAAGAAGAGAGAAGGUGGGCCACACUUGGUCUGUUUGUCCUAAAGCACUGUUCCCUGUUGACUAGAACCUUCUAUAAUCCUUUGUAAACUUGUUAAACUCCCUGCAACUCUCUGUAGCUUCUGUUGGUCGAGUAUAAGUAUAAUUUCAAAAUUUUGGUUUUUUAAAAUCAUCACUAAUACUCGACCAACUUACUCGACCUCAUGGCCUCUGAGUGCAACAGAAGUUUUUCAAAUUCUUGAAUUCUGACAUACUCGAUCCCCUGUUGCUCUGUAGAGUAAGAUUUUUAAAUUUUUACUCUACCUCCACGUUGUUUCUCUGUUCCUGAGAAUCACAAACACAACCAAAAACAAAUCAAAAAGAACAAGAAAAUAAAAGUUUUAUUUACAGAAACAGUCUUGGGAAUUCCUCCCAAGUGAGCUUGUUUAAAGUCUCUAGCUUGACUCCUCACACUCAUUAAGAAGAAAAUGGGUGAUAGAGAACAUCUGCAUAGUCUUCUCUGAUCUCAUCAUCAUAUUCAGCAUCCUCUCUUGAGAGAUGUAUAGCAGAAUACUCAAUUCUUUUCCUCGAAAUAGGCCUCUUUCUCUUCUGGUGGAUAAUUUAUCUCCUCAGACCAUCUUGAAGUAAUCUUUUUUCUUAGGAUAGUGUUAUUCCCGCAUUUUGAUUGAGCUAUCUCUUGCAUCUGAUCCAGUUUACUCUUAAGUUCCUCAACCAUCUGAGCUAGCUUCUCUAUGGUUUCUUCUUGCUCAUCAGAUUUCUUUUUGAGAUCUCGCAAAUCAGGUGUAGAGGUUGUGCUUGGUCUGGUGAUUGAAUUCGAAGGUUGAGGUUGAGCCAUCAUCUUUUCUUCUACAGCUGUCCUUUGCAAAGUUUCGUUGAUGUCAAACUGCAACUUGAUGUGCUUCCCAAGGUUAAGAUUUAUUCUCCCGUCUUUGACAUCUAUCAUCGCUCCCACGGAGGCUAAGAAAGGUCUCCCUAGGAUUAGAGGAUCCUUAGGUUCUGCUUCCAUCUCAAGCACAACGAAAUAUGUAGGUACUUCCACUCCAUUAAUCAUUACUGGCAGAUCUUGUAGAAGGCCAAAGGGUUUUCUUGAAGACCUAUCAGCAAGGAUCAAAGUCAGGUCGCAAGGCCUGUACUGAGUGAAUUCCAGCUUCCUUGCCACGGAGAGUGGCAUUAAGCUUACUGAAGCUCCCAAAUCACAAAGACAUUUGCUGAAAACCAAUUGACCAAUGGAACAUGGUAGAGUGAAAGUUCCUGGUUCUUCCAGUUUUUCUUGAACACUCCUCUUAACAGUGGUCCUAGACGGAAUAGCAUCACAUUCGUCUUCUGAAUCUUGAUGAAUCUUGAUCCUUUUCAGAAUUGACUUUCUCACAUCUUUGUGAGGAUCCGGGAUUAGGUUGAGAACUUCAAUUAGAGGCAUCACCGCUUCCAUCUCAUCAAGCUGCUUCUCUGCAAAAGAGAAUUGUAUCUUUCUAUCCAUGCUUUCCUGAAUUUCCAUGGAAGAGCACGUGAAGGUAAUGGUGCUGGCUUGAAUCGUUUUACCAUCCUCUCAAUGAUGGCUGCUUUCUCGUCUAGGUUGGACUAGGUUUGAAAACGGGAUCCAGCUGAAUGGUCGAGUUCAACAACUGAAAUUUCAAUCUGAGUAGAAGCCUCCCCGUCCUGAACAUCACUGUCCUCGGUGAUUGAUGUGGAGACAUGUCGAGUAGGCAGCUCUCGAUCAUGACAGAUGGUGAUAGUGUGAGCGGUGUCGUAUUCCUUCGGGUUCUGUAUGGACUUUCCUGGAAGUCCUGUUACUUUUGGAGCAGAAGUUGACGCUGUUUGUCCUUCCAUGUAUCUGACCUUAGAGGUAAGUGCCUCAAGUUUGAUAUUCAGAUCGUUGAAAGUGCAAUCAACCUUGUUGUGGAUUUCUGCCAUCUUUUA